AUAUACAAUAUGGAUUUAUUAAUUAUGGUCACCAUGUUGUAUAUUACAUCCCUAUGGCUUAUUUAUUUUGUAAGCGGAUGUUUGUACCUUUCUCUCUUUUUGACAAAUACUGUCGUAUGUGGAUAUGGUGCUUGGGGCUGUGGCAGCCUCUUUGUGACCAUGAGGGGAGCAUCACUGGCAUUCUAAGAAUGGGAGAGCAUAGAAUGGAAAGCAUCUGGGUCCUUAGCGACAUCAUAGAGCCAGUGAACCCCCUGGGCCUCUCUGCCUGUCUGCUUUUGAUUGAGUCGGUUUGCUGCUGCUGCUGCUAAGUCGCUUCAGUCGUGUCCGACUUUGUGCGACCCCAUAGACGGCAGCCCACCAAGCUCUCCUCUCCCUGGGAUUCUCCAGGCAAGAAUACUGGAGUGGGUUGCCAUUUCCUUCUCCAAUGCAUGAAAGUGAAAAGUGGAAGUGAAGUCGCUCAGUUGUGUCCGACUCUUAGGACCCCAUGGACUUCAGCCUACCAGGCUCCUCCGUCCAUGGAAUUUUCCAGAAAUAGAAUGCCAAGUUUUCAGCUGGACUCAUGGCUUUCACGUUUUCAAAGUGCAUGUGUGUGCGCUCAGUCAUGAUUGACUCUUUGCGACCCCGUGGACUGUAUCGCGCCAGGCUCCUCUGCCCCAUGGAAUUUUCAAGGCGUCCUUACUACAGAGACACUUGUCCUAAACGGUGGACUGGGGAAGAAGAAAUAUGGACAGACAGGUCUCUGAACCAUACCUAAACCCUGUGUCUCAACACUGAAGUCACAAGACUGCUAACUCUCCCUGUCUUUGCAGAGAGUGAGUGAGAGGUGAGGCGCUCAGUCGUGCCUGACUCUUUGUGACCGCAUGGACUGUAGCCUGCCAGGUUCCCCUGUCCAUGGAAUUCUCCUGGCUAGAAUACUGCAGUGGGUUGCCAUUUCCUACUCCAGAGGAUCUUCGUGGCCCAGGGAUUGAACAGGCAUCUCUUGCAUUGGCAGGAGAUUCUUCACCGCUGAGUCGCUGGGGAAACCCUUGGCAGAUCAUCUAGGCUUCUAGCUUCUGUAUUGAUCUUUCCUUUUGUGCUGAUGUAAUCUCUCCUAUUUGUUAGUAUUACGUCCAGGAGAGAUAUUGACUAGAUUUCACCUCGUGUAUCAACUCAUAUAUUGAUAGUGGCUGCGCGGUGUCUGUGUUGAGAAGAAUUAUGUACACAUCUUAGACUGGGUUCCCUGAAGCAGGGAUUCUGGUGCUCUGGGUUUCUUGAGGGUAGACUCUGGAGAAAGGGAGUGAUGGAAGCCAUACAGGACGGGGAAGGAGCUUCAGAGGAGUGUGUUCUCAGUGCAGCCUAGCUUCAGCCUGAUCGCACGGGAGUGCUAGAACAGGAAUCACAUCUCAGAGUUGGUCCCACCUUGAGGCCAGAGCCCCCUUCUUUUGUGGCCCCUGAUUAGUCAGUUACUGGUUGUAGGCUGCCUUGGGGGAGCUACCUCCCACUUCAUUGAGGGUGAUUCUCUAGAGAUGAGAGCAGCUGUGAACUUGUAGUAGCUGGCAUUCAUAGUAGCUGGGAGAUGGAUAUAUGUAGUUUCUGAUAAAGAUUUGGAUGGGACACAAACAACAUUUGUUAGUCUGCAGUCACACUCAGGGGACAAGUUUUGUGAUCAAUUAGACAUAUCUUCCAUGGGUGUGGACUCUAAUCUCUGCAGCAGUUCAUGCUAUGAGAAGAGAAAGGGCUGAAAUAAGGUUUGCUCUGUCAACAUCCCUACUAAGAAGCAAACUAAAGUUAGGAAGGGCAUGGAAAUUAUAGAACAAGAUUUGUGUUAUGGCCCAACCACUGCCUUAUAACUGGAGAAGGAAAUGGCAACCUACUCGAGUAUUCUUGCCUGAGAAAUCCCAUGGACAGAGGAGCCUGGUAGGCUACAGUCCUUGAGAUCAUUAAGAGUCAGGCACAAUUUUGUGGCUAAAACAAUACAUUGCCUUAUAAAUUGAGAGCUGUUGUUCAGUUGCUCAGUCGUGUCCGACUCUUUAUGACUCCAUGGACUGCAGCAUGCCAGGCUUCCCUGUCCUUCACCACUGAAAGCUGACAUGACCUAUUUCCUCAGGAUCCAGAUGCAGAACCUGAUGGUGAAGUCCUUUGGCAGCAAGCAACAUAAUUCAUCCCUGGGUAACUUCAGCACAUUUGGGACUAUAGAAAGGAAACUGGGAGACCUUGCAGAAUCUAAGAAAGGCCAUAAUGCUGAGCAGGAAUUAGGGCUACCUCAGGAACCCCACAGCAGAAUCACAUGGACCACUUCCUAGGGUGGUGCUGUAACACUCCACCUCAACCACUUUCAGUCUCUAUACAUCUGUUUCUCUUACUCUUUUAAAUCAGCUUUUAAUUUUAGAAUGCUUUCAGAUUUACUGAAAAGUUGAAAAAAUGUUAGCAAGAUUCCCUACACCCAGUUUCUUAUUGUUAGCACUGUUAUGAUGCAUAAUCACAGUAGUGAACUGAUAUUGACACCCUCCUGCUAACGAACUUCCAUAGUUUAUUCAGAUCUCCUUAGGUUUUACCCAAUGUCAUUUUCUGUCCCAGCAUCCCACCAAGCACCAGAUACUUUUAGUAGUCAUGACUCCAUAGGCUCCUCUAGACUGUGAGUUUCCAAACUUCCCUUGUUUUUGAUAACUUUGACAGUUUUGAAGAGUGCUGCUCAGGGUUAAACCUAACCUUUAACUUUGUGUUUCUUUUAAAUUUUGGCCCAGUUUGAGUCCAAAAUCUUCCUCCUAGGAGCAAAUGACUAUUGCCAGGGGCAAAAUAGAAGCAGAACAAGGCCAUGGGGGAUCAUUGUGAAUCCCAGCCACUCCAGUUUGGAGUUUAUGCUUACAACCUGAGAUCAAAGCAGGGAUCCUCCCCUGCAAGAUUAGAUGACCUGGGUCACAGCUCCCAGCAAAAUGAUUAUGUGUGCCCCAAAAUAGUAAAAUAAGUGGCACAGAACCGAUGGCCACGGUCAAGCAAUUACAGAGAAGAAACCUCAGUGAUUCUGGCCAGAACCGAAUGUGUGACUGCUACAUACUUUAUUCUCUGCCCUAAGCUUGAAACAGUAAGGAGCUUCCUCGGUGGCCCAAUGGCUAAGACCCUGCACUCCCAAUGCAGGGGGCUCAGGUUGAUCCCUGGUCAGGGAACUAGAUCCCACAUGCCACAACUAAGACCUGGCACCACCAAACAGAACAAACUUUAAAAACAAAACAGAGAAAACAAGUCAGUGAGUCUGAAAUUCCUG
ensembl:lncRNA